rnacentral:rRNA from 1 species
GAUGAACGCUAGCGGCAGGCCUAACACAUGCAAGUCGAGGGAUAAGCCCUUCGGGGUGGAAACCGGCGCACGGGUGCGUAACGCGUAUGCAACCUACCUUUCACAGGGGGAUAGCCCGAAGAAAUUUGGAUUAAUACCCCAUAAUAUUGUUGGAUGGCAUCAUCUGAUAAUUAAAGUUACGAUGGUGAAAGAUGGGCAUGCGUCCUAUUAGCUAGUUGGAGUGGUAACGGCACCCCAAGGCUACGAUAGGUAGGGGUCCUGAGAGGGAGAUCCCCCACACUGGUACUGAGACAGGGACCAGACUCCUACGGGAGGCAGCAGUGAGGAAUAUUGGUCAAUGGUCGAAAGACUGAACCAGCCAUGCCGCGUGCAGGACAGACGGCCCUAGAGGUUGUAAACUGCUUUUAUAUGGGAAGAAUAAGGAGUACGCGUACUUUGAUGAACGGUACCA